AGCUCGGUGGGGAAUCCCAGCAAUGGGUGAGCAACCGGCGUAAGAGGGCAGAUUAUGCAUGGGUACCUACCUUUGGGUUCGGGUUAGCCAUCAGAGAUGGUGGUAUAAUACCGCGAUGAUGUCGUUGAGACCAAAGAUUUUUCGCCCGAAGUAGGGGCCCAUGCAGAUAUUAGCUAGUUGG
rnacentral:rRNA from 1 species